GAUGAACGCUGGCGGCGUGCCUAAUACAUGCAAGUCGAGCGAACGGACGAGAAGCUUGCUUCUCUGAUGUUAGCGGCGGACGGGUGAGUAACACGUGGAUAACCUACCUAUAAGACUGGGAUAACUUCGGGAAACCGUAGAUAAUACCGGAUAAUAUUUUGAACCGCAUGGUUCAAAAGUGAAAGACGGUCUUGCUGUCACUUAUAGAUGGAUCCGCGCUGCAUUAGCUAGUUGGUAAGGUAACGGCUUACCAAGGCAACGAUGCAUAGCCGACCUGAGAGGGUGAUCAGCCACACUGGAACUGAGACACGGUCCAGACUCCUACGGGAGGCAGCAGUAGGGAAUCUUCGGCAAUGGGCGAAAGCCUGACGGAGCAACGCCGCGUGAGUGAUGAAGGUCUUCGGAUCGUAAAACUCUUUUAUUAGGGAAGAACAUAUGUGUAAGUAACUGUGCACAUCUUGACGGUACCUAAUCAGAAAGCCACGGCUAACUACGUG
rnacentral:rRNA from 1 species